rnacentral:rRNA from 1 species
UACGUAGGUGGCAAGCGUUGUCCGGAUUUACUGGGCGUAAAGGGCGUGCAGGCGGUCUGUUAAGUCUAGGGUGAAAGCUCCCGGCUCAACUGGGAGAGGUCCUUGGAUACUGGCGGACUUGAGGGAUGCAGAGGAAAGUGGAAUUCCCGGUGUAGUGGUGAUAUGCGUAGAGAUUACUAGGAACACCAAUGGCGAAGGCAGCUUGCUGGGCCUUUUCUGACGCUGAGGUACGAAAGCGUGGGGAGCGAACAGG